GUGGGGAAUCUUAGACAAUGGGCGCAAGCCUGAUCUAGCCAUGCCGCGUGAGCGAUGAAGGCCUUAGGGUUGUAAAGCUCUUUCGUGGGGGAAGAUAAUGACUGUACCCCAAGAAGAAGCCCCGGCUAACUCCGUGCCAGCAGCCGCGGUAAUACGGAGGGGGCUAGCGUUGUUCGGAAUUACUGGGCGUAAAGCGCACGUAGGCGGACUGGAAAGUCAGGGGUGAAAUCCCGGGGCUCAACCCCGGAACUGCCUUUGAAACUCCCAGUCUUGAGUUCGAGAGAGGUGAGUGGAAUUCCGAGUGUAGAGGUGAAAUUCGUAGAUAUUCGGAGGAACACCAGUGGCGAAGGCGGCUCACUGGCUCGAUACUGACGCUGAGGUGCGAAAGCGUGGGGAGCAAACAGGAUUAGAAACCCUAGUAGUCCC
rnacentral:rRNA from 1 species